UACGUAGGGGGCAAGCGUUAUCCGGAUUUACUGGGUGUAAAGGGAGCGUAGACGGCAUGGCAAGUCAGAUGUGAAAGCCCGGGGCUCAACCCCGGGACUGCAUUUGAAACUGUCAGGCUGAAGUGCAGGAGAGGUAAGCGGAAUUCCUAGUGUAGCGGUGAAAUGCGUAGAUAUUAGGAGGAACACCAGUGGCGAAGGCGGCCUGCUGGACUGCAACUGACGUUGAGGCUCGAAGGCGUGGGUAGCAAACAGG
rnacentral:rRNA from 1 species